rnacentral:rRNA from 1 species
GACGAACGCUGGCGGCGUGCCUAAUACAUGCAAGUCGAACGAACUCUGGUAUUGAUUGGUGCUUGCAUCAUGAUUUACAUUUGAGUGAGUGGCGAACUGGUGAGUAACACGUGGGAAACCUGCCCAGAAGCGGGGGAUAACACCUGGAAACAGAUGCUAAUACCGCAUAACAACUUGGACCGCAUGGUCCGAGUUUGAAAGAUGGCUUCGGCUAUCU